UGAUUUUAGAAACACUUCAAAUAAGGGCUGUGUUUCGUGUAGACUUACCCUGGCGGGACGUUUUGAUAACUGUGUGAUUCUCUCUUGAACAAGAACUACAAAUGCCUGUCUCAAGAUUAGCAUAACCCACCAGGGCGAUGAUGAUCUAGACUAGAGUGCCGAAACGAGGCAAAGGUGGAUUUCUGAGGAAUAAUGGAGGGGAGAAAAAGAGGAAGAAGAGGUUGAAGCAAAUGAGGAAAGCAGAGGUUGGAUUUGAGGAUGAUGGUGAUAAAAAUGGACAUGGGGUGUCGAAGAAGAUUGGUGUCAAGUGCAGAGUGAGACCUGGAGGAGAGUGGUGUCAAGUGCAGAGUGAGACCUGGAGGAGAGUGGUGUCAAGUGCAGAGUGAGACCUGGAGGAGAGUGGUGUCAAGUGCAAACAGAGUGAGACCUGGAGGAGAGUGGUGUCAAGUGCAAACAGAGUGAGACCUGGAGGAGAGUGGUGUCAAGUGCAGAGUGAGACCUGGAGGAGAGUGGUGUCAAGUGCAGAGUGAGACCUGGAGGAGAGUGGUGUCUGCAGAGUGAGACCUGGAGGAGAGUGGUGUCCAGUGCAGAGUGAGACCUGGAGGAGAGUGGUGUCAAGUGCAAACAGAGUGAGACCUGGAGGAGAGUGGUGUCAAGUGCAAACAGAGUGAGACCUGGAGGAGAGUGGUGUCAAGUGCAAACAGAGUGAGACCUGGAGGAGAGUGGGGUCAAGUGCAAACAGAGUGAGACCUGGAGGAGAGUGGUGUCAAGUGCAGAGUGAGACCUGGAGGAGAGUGGUGUCAAGUGCAGAGUGAGACCUGGGGGAGAGUGGUGUCAAGUGCAAACAGAGUGAGACCUGGAGGAGAGUGGUGUCAAGUGCAGAGUGAGACCUGGAGGAGAGUGGUGUCAAGUGCAAACAGAGUGAGACCUGGAGGAGAGUGGUGUCAAGUGCAGAGUGAGACCUGGAGGAGAGUGGUGUCAAGUGCAAACAGAGUGAGACCUGGAGGAGAGUGGUGUCAAGUGCAAACAGAGUGAGACCUGGAGGAGAGUGGUGUCAAGUGCAAACAGAGUGAGACCUGGAGGAGAGUGGUGUCAAGUGCAGAGUGAGACCUGGAGGAGAGUGGUGUCAAGUGCAAACAGAGUGAGACCUGGAGGAGAGUGGUGUCAAGUGCAAACAGAGUGAGACCUGGAGGAGAGUGGUGUCAAGUGCAAACAGAGUGAGACCUGUAGGAGAGUGGUGUCAAGUGCAAACAGAGUGAGACCUGGGGGAGAGUGGUGUCAAGUGCAAACAGAGUGAGACCUGGAGGAGAGUGGUGUCAAGUGCAAACAGAGUGAGACCUGGGGGAGAGUGGUGUCAAGUGCAAACAGAGUGAGCCGUGCGCCAGACCAAGUGCUGGAGGUGAAAUGGAAGUGAGUUAAAUGAGGUGGAAGGUGUGGUGAAGAGCUCUGAGCCUCAGUAUGGCAUCGAUGGUCAUGAUCAAGAAGAAUCUGGUCCAGUAGGAGUGACAUCUGUGGUUUCAGGGUGGGUGGGAAAGGAGUUUGGUGCAGUUGAAUCAGUGAAGGUAACCUGUAGUGGACUUGUGAUAUUUGUUUGUGUCUCUUCUGACCAGGGGGAGCGGGAGUGUCAUGCAACUUGGGUCAAGAUUGGUUUCUUUCUUUGCUCUUAGGAACAGGGCACCAUCAAAAGGAGUGAUUUAUGGGGUAGCGUGGAGCAAUUGAAGUUGGAGAUUCCGGGUGUUUGUGAUGCCCGCCGUUUGGUGCUAUGCGGGCCUGGUGGUGAGCGUGGUGAAACAGAGGAGUCACUGUCAGUACUUUUUAGUUUUGAGUCAGUCUUUACCUGACAAAGUCCUGUUAGGAUGUAUCAGUUAUCCUGUUAAAGCUUGUGUGCUGAAUCCACAAAACCCCUUUUUAUGUUUAUUCCAUGGCCAACCAUCCCUCUAGCUACCCCUUAUUCCACACUAUGCCUUUCAUGCCCCAUGGUCCCUCAACUUCAGACACUUUUAACUCUUAUCGCUGUAAACCCAACCUUCCUUCACUUGUUGGGCUCCUGAUUGGAUAACAUCUAGACUGUGUUGUGGUGUACUUUUCUUUCACCUAUGUAAUGCUUUCCUCCUUCUGCUUAUUCUGGGGUUCAGACAGAAUGCAAUGGUAAAGGUGCUGCUCACAAUUGAUAGCAGCAACAUGGACCUGUUACAUUGACCAGAAGGGUGUUGAUAUAGCUGUGUUUAGGCAUGGCUUCAUGGACCUGUUCCA